GUUUCCAUGGUGUAGUGGUUAUCACAUUCGCCUCACACGCGAAAGGUUCCCCUGUUCGAAACAGGAUGGAAACA